AUUGAACGCUAGCGGGAUGCUUUACACAUGCAAGUCGAACGGCAGCGCGGACUUCGGUCUGGCGGCGAGUGGCGAACGGGUGAGUAAUGUAUCGGAACGUGCCCAGUAGCGGGGGAUAACUACGCGAAAGCGUAGCUAAUACCGCAUACGCCCUACGGGGGAAAGCAGGGGAUCGUAAGACCUUGCACUAUUGGAGCGGCCGAUAUCGGAUUAGCUAGUUGGUGAGGUAACGGCUCACCAAGGCGACGAUCCGUAGCUGGUUUGAGAGGACGACCAGCCACACUGGGACUGAGACACGGCCCAGACUCCUACGGGAGGUAGCAGUGGGGAAUUUUGGACAAUGGGGGCAACCCUGAUCCAGCCAUCCCGCGUGUGCGAUGAAGGCCUUCGGGUUGUAAAGCACUUUUGGCAGGAAAGAAACGUCGCGGGCUAAUACCCCGUGGAACUGACGGUACCUGCAGAAUAAGCACCGGCUAACUACGUG
rnacentral:rRNA from 1 species